UACGGAGGGGGCUAGCGUUGUUCGGAAUUACUGGGCGUAAAGCGCACGUAGGCGGCUUUGUAAGUUAGAGGUGAAGGCCCGGGGCUCAACUCCGGAAUUGCCUUUAAGACUGCAUCGCUAGAAUUGUGGAGAGGUAAGUGGAAUUCCGAGUGUAGAGGUGAAAUCCGUAGAUAUUCGGAAGAACACCAGUGGCGAAGGCGACUUACUGGACACAUAUUGACGCUGAGGUGCGAAAGCGUGGGGAGCAAACAGG
rnacentral:rRNA from 1 species